GAUGAACGCUAGCUACAGGCUUAACACAUGCAAGUCGCGGGGCAGCAUGGGGGUUGCUUGCAAUCCCCGAUGGCGACCGGCGCACGGGUGAGUAACGCGUAUCCAACCUGCCCUUCACCCCUGGGUAACCCGGCGAAAGUCGGACUAAUACCGUAUGUUGUCCAUUGACGGCAUCCGAUUUGUCCGGAUGGUUUGGCGGUGAAGGAUGGGGUUGCGUUCGAUUGGCUUGACGGCGGGGUGACGGCCCACCGUGGCGACGAUCGGUAGGGGUUUGGAGAGGAAGGUCCCCCACACGGGAACUGAGACACGGUCCAGACUGCUACGGGAGGCAGGAGUGAGGAAUAUUGGUCAAGGGGCGUAAGCCUGAACCAGCCAAGUAGCGUGAAGGAGGACGGCCCUAUGGGUUGUAAACUGCUUUUAUGCGGGGAUAAAGUGGCCCACGUGUGGGUUUUUGCAGGUACCGAAUGAAUAAGGACCGGCUAAUUCCGUG
rnacentral:rRNA from 1 species